rnacentral:tRNA from 1 species
GCCUGGGUGGCUCAGUCGGUUAAGCAUCUGACUUCAGCUCAGGUCAUGAUCCCACAGUUUGUGAGUUCAAGUCCUAUACUGGGUG